rnacentral:rRNA from 1 species
AUAAGUUAAUACCUUAUAACCCUGAUGUUACCUGCAGAAUAAGCACCGGCUAAUUCCGUGCCAGCAGCCGCGGUAAUACGGAAGGUGCAAGCGUUAAUCGGAAUUACUGGGCGUAAAGCGCGCGUAGGUGGUUUGUUAAGUUGGAUGUGAAAGCCCUGGGCUCAACCUAGGAACUGCAUCCAAAACUAACUCACUAGAGUACGAUAGAGGGAGGUAGAAUUCAUAGUGUAGCGGUGGAAUGCGUAGAUAUUAUGAAGAAUACCAGUGGCGAAGGCGGCCUCCUGGAUCUGUACUGACACUGAGGUGCGAAAGCGUGGGUAGCGAACAGGAUUAGAUACCCUGGUAGUCCACGCCGUAAACGAUGACAACUAGCUGUUGGAAGACAAUGUCUUUCAGUGGCGCAGCUAACGUUUUAAGUUGUCCGCCUGGGGAGUACGGCCGCAAGGCUAAAACUCAAAUGAAUUGACGGGGACCCGCACAAGCGGUGGAGCAUGUGGUUUAAUUCGAUGCAACGCGAAAAACCUUACCUACUCUUGACAUACUUGGAAGCUCUUGUAAUGAGAGCGUGCCUUUUGGAACCAAGAUACAGGUGCUGCAUGGCUGUCGUCAGCUCGUGUCGUGAGAUGUUCCGUUAAGUCGGAUAACGAGCGCAACCCUUACCCUUAUUUGCCAGCGAUUCGGUCGGGAACUAUAAGGGGACUGCCGGUGAUAAACCGGAGGAAGGUGAGGACGACGUCAAGUCAUCAUGGCCCUUACGAGUAGGGCUACACACGUGCUACAAUGGGGAAUACAGACGGACGCUAAGCCGCGAGGUGGUGCUAAUCCUAAAAAGUUUCUCGUAGUCCGGAUUGGAG